CGAGCGCAACCCUUAUUGCUAGUUGCCAUCAUUUAGUUGGGGACUCUAGCGAGACUGCCAGUGACAGAACUGGAGGAAGGUGGGGAUGACGUCAAAUCAUCAUGCCCCUUAUGGCCUGGGCUACAGACGUGAUACAAUGGGUGCUACAAAGGGCAGCGAAGCCGUGAGGUGGAGCGAAACCCAUAAAAGCACUCUCAGUUCGGAUUGAAGUCUGCAACUCGACUUCAUGAAGUUGGAAUCGCUAGUAAUCGCAAAUCAGAAUGUUGCGGUGAAUACGUUCUCGGGGUUUGUACACACCGCCCGUCAAACCACGAAAGUCAGCAAUACCCAAAGCCGGUGGCCUAACCGUAAGGAGGGAGCCGUUUAAGGUAGGGUUGAUGAUUGGGGUUAAGUCGUAACAAGGUAACC
rnacentral:rRNA from 1 species